GCGAGGGUGGCGAAAUGGCAGACGCGCUAGUUUGAGGGGCUAGUGGGGUAAAACCCGUGGGGGUUCAAGUCCCCCUCCUCGCA
rnacentral:tRNA from 1 species